GGAAGAGUCGUUUGAGAUACAGUUGGCGUUCGCCAUAUACUGAAUCAACAGCAGCGACAGAGAUUGGUAAAAGGUUGAACCGGCGUCUUGGGCCCAAUAAACAUAUAUCUACUGUAUCGGCAGAGCAAAUCCAUCCACACGCAAUACGCAGAGCAAACCCAUCCACAUGCAAUACACACAGCAAACUACAGAGCAGGGGAGGGUGGAGAAAUACGGAGGAGGAUGUUAGCUUGUUAAUGACGUUAUGGGUCAGGGAUUGGCAACCUUCGGCACCCAAGAUGUUGUGGACUACAAUUCCCAUGAUGCUUUGCUAGCAUUAUGACUGUGUUAUUGAAGCCGAAGGUUGCCUGCCCCUAUUAUAGGUCAAUCAGUGCCCGUUUUCUGUCAAUCUGUUCUAGAUCCGAUUAUGGGAUAUGCUAGUCCCCAGUGAAAGAAUUAGAAAGCUGCACAGGAGAUACAUUUAGAUUUGAGUAAGUGAUUGGGGCUGCAAUCACUGAAAGAUCAUUCCACUUGUAGAAACCUGUAACAUUUAAGACACCCAACCCUUUAUAACACAUACACCCAUUUAAAGUGUGUCAUAGGAUUCCAUUAGGAGGAAGAAUGAAUGAAGUGUAUAGUACUGUCCGUGACGCCAUCACAGCUCCUGUCAAAUAAUGAGUUCAUUGUGCCUUUAAGGUGUCUCAGCCGACAUGCCGCGAGAGAGACACACACACACCUAGUGUGUAAGGAAGAGAGGGCAACUGUGGAAGCAUGUCUUUCCAAUAUGAAGUUGGUCCAAUGAAAGCCGGACCGUUGCAUACGUCAAUACUCAGGUUAUCUUUGAUAUGUAUCUAUAUGAGGCUCCGUCCCUGUGUGUUUUAUGAUGCACACACCCUGUAUACCUACAAAUAUAAAACCAACAACAUUAGAACUCACCCCUGCGCACAAAACCACACUAUUAUAUUACAGCCCUCUUGUUAAUGUUUUACCUUAUAGAGCAAUCUGUCAGAUAUAACAACCAGACAGACAGCUGCCGGUCCGUGAAUUGCCUGUCUCAUAUUAUGUGUGUUUCCCCAUCUUUUCGUGUCUUCUGCCGCUCCUCGUUCGGUAGGGUUCCCACAAAGGGAAUUCAUUCGCCCCCCUGAACGGGGACUACCCAGAUACCCGAUUUAGAUUGUUAGUUUAGAACCUUCACACUUUGCAACAUAGUGUCAAACUGCAAGGGAAACAAUUAAUAAGCACUCCUCUGGCUAGCUGCCAUUCGUACAGAUGAACGUCAGCCAGGGGGAGCAUUCGUGGAUUAUUCCCUGAUUCGUACGUCUCUCGAAUGAGGACCUCCCCAGUGUCCCAUUAGAACGUUCACACCAAUCAGAACGUUUGCACCUGCAAAACACGUGUGAAACAGCAAGGGAAGUAAUAAAUGAAUGCACCCCUGGUUGGCCGCCAUUUCGUACAAUCGAAUGCCGUUGCCGUCCAGGGGGAGCAUAUGCGUCCCCCUAAAGGAGAUGCUUUCCUAGCCGGGUUUCACACAGAGACCCCGCGAGCGAAGCCUGGUCGAGGAAGGUACCGCUGUGAGGGUCCCUGAGAUUGGUGUGGGCACUGGCGAGCUUUGCGGUGCCCGCUGGGAAAAAGAGACCUGCUCUUUUCCCACGGGCUGGCACUCUAUGCCUGGGAGACAAAUGGUCCCCUUUUCCUGCGCUUGUACUCCCAGGUACAGAGGCUCAUGGGAUGAAGACCCCUCUGUGACGGUCUGCGCGAGGACGCGCUCAG
rnacentral:lncRNA from 1 species